UACGUAGGUGGCAAGCGUUGUCCGGAAUUACUGGGUGUAAAGGGAGCGCAGGCGGGAAGCCAAGUCAGCUGUGAAAACUACGGGCUUAACUUGUAGACUGCAGUUGAAACUGGUUUUCUUGAGUGAAGUAGAGGUUGGCGGAAUUCCGAGUGUAGCGGUGAAAUGCGUAGAUAUUCGGAGGAACACCGGUGGCGAAGGCGGCCAACUGGGCUUUAACUGACGCUGAGGCUCGAAGGCGCGGGUAUCGA
rnacentral:rRNA from 1 species